rnacentral:rRNA from 1 species
UACGGAGGGGGCGAGCGUUAUUCGGAAUUAUUGGGCGUAAAGGGCGCGUAGGCGGCUUGAUGUGUCAAAGGUGAAAUCCCUCGGCUCAACUGAGGAACUGCCUUUGAAACUGUCUGGCUUGAGGCCGGGAGAGGGUAGCGGAAUUCCCAGUGUAGCGGUGAAAUGCGUAGAUAUCAUGAGGAAUACCAGAGGCGAAGGCGGCUACCUGGACAAUUGCUGACGCUCAGGCACGAAAGCGUGGGGAGCAAACAGG